UCGAGAAUAAUUCACAAUGGGGGCAACCCUGAUGGUGCAACGCCGCGUGGAGGAUGAAGGUCUUCGGAUUGUAAACUCCUGUCAUCUGGGAGUAAGACCUGGUCGUUAAUAGCGGACAGGGUUGAUAGUACCAGAAGAGGAAGGGACGGCUAACUUCGUGCCAGCAGCCGCGGUAAUACGAAGGUCCCGAGCGUUGUUCGGAAUCACUGGGCGUAAAGGGAGCGUAGGCGGCGUGGUAAGUCAGAUGUGAAAUCCCGGGGCUCAACCCCGGAACUGCAUCCGAUACUGCCGUGCUAGAGGAUUGGAGAGGUAGCUGGAAUUCUUGGUGUAGCAGUGAAAUGCGUGGAUAUCAAGAGGAACACUCGUGGCGAAAGCGAGCUACUGG
rnacentral:rRNA from 1 species